rnacentral:SRP_RNA from 1 species
GAAGGUUGGCGGACGGACGGACGCCUCGCCAACCCGGUCAGAUCCGGAAGGAAGCAGCCGUAACGAGCCGUGUCCGGGUCGUCCGAACAACCUUCCAC